rnacentral:hammerhead_ribozyme from 1 species
AUUCGGAUGAUGAGUCUCAAAUAGGACGAAAUACGCAUCCUGAAU